rnacentral:rRNA from 1 species
GCUAAAAACCUAGCUCAACUUUACGCAAAUACCACAACCAAACAACUGUAACUAAACAAAACAUUUUUAAAUUUUUAGUAAAGGCGAUUGAAAAAUAUCUAGAAGCUAUAACAAUAGUACCGCAAGGGAAAAGUGAAAUAAAAAUGAAAUAACUUUAAAGCAAAGCUAAGCAGAGAUUUAACCUCGUACCUUUUGCAUCAUGGUCUAGCUAGUUUAACCAAGCAAAGCGAAAUUAUAGUUUGACACCCCGAAACUAGGUGAGCUACUUCAAAACAGCCUUCAAGGGCCAACCCGUCUCUGUUGCAAAAGAGUGGGAAGAUUUUCAAGUAGAGGUGAUAGACCUACCGAACCUAGAGAUAGCUGGUUAUUCAGGAAAAGGAUUUAAGUCCUACCUUAAGUUUUUCUAUACUACAAAAUAUACCCAUAAACUUAAGAGCUAUUCAAAUAAGGUACAGCCUAUUUGAAACAGGAAACAACCUAAAACACAGGGUAAUGAUAUUCUAAAUGUGACCAAGUGGGCCUAAAAGCAGCCAACUUUUAAAUAGCGUUAAAGCUUCAUCACUUCAUUUAACAAAUAACCAUAACACCACAAAACCCUUUACCACUACUGAAUGACUCCAUAAUUGUAUGGAGAACACUAUGCUAGAACUAGUAACAAGAAGAAGACCUUCUCCAAAAUGUAAGUGUAAGCCAAAAUGAACAUCUCACUGGCACUUAUCGUCUCUGAACUUACGGUAGCAACUUCACAAGAAAAUACUACCACACAAAACGUUAACCUUACACCAGAACAUUACCGGAAAGAUUAAAAGAAGAGGAAGGAACUCGGCAAAUUUUAACCCCGCCUGUUUACCAAAAACAUCGCCUCCUGAAAUAACUAUAGGAGGUCCAGCCUGCCCAGUGACAAAGUUAAACGGCCGCGGUACCCUAACCGUGCGAAGGUAGCGCAAUCACUUGUUCUUUAAAUGAGGACUAGUAUGAAUGGCAUCACGAGGGUUAUACUGUCUCCCUCUUUCAAUCAGUGAAACUGAUCUUCCCGUGAAGAAGCGGGAAUACAUCUAUAAGACGAGAAGACCCCAUGGAGCUUAAAACUCAGUAUCAACUACUAUACUAAUUUAUCCUCUUAAUUAAGCAGAUCUGACUACUAGUUUUCGGUUGGGGUGACCGCGGAGCAAAACAAAACCUCCACGAUGAAAGGAACUAACCUCCUAAUCAAAGAGCUACCUCUCUAAGAAUCAACAAAUUGACAUUUAUUGAUCCAACUUUUUUGAUCAACGAACCAAGUUACCCUGGGGAUAACAGCGCAAUCCAUUUCAAGAGCCCCUAUCGACAAAUGGGUUUACGACCUCGAUGUUGGAUCAGGGUAUCCCAGUGGUGCAGCCGCUACUAAAGGUUCGUUUGUUCAACGAUUAAAACCCU